GAAAUAAAUUUCAUCAUUCGAUUUAGAAUACAGAGUCACUUUGUUGAGAUCUGUCACGAUGAGAAGAAAGAGAGCCAAGAAUGGGCGCAGUACGUCGUUGAAGAUGACUCUAAAUCAAGUGCUGCGGGAAGAGUAUCGUGCACCAUUCAUCGAUCAGGUCACAUGAGUUUUGUGGCCUUGACCGAAGUACGGGCAGUUCGGUAUAUAAAAUAACCCGUAGAAAUGAUUUCAAGGUUUCCCGCUUGAAUUUAUAAGCAGAUAAUACACUUCUUCAAUGUACUUUGUUCGACUUUGUUAAGUCCAAACUCCCAAUUAAAUUCCGUUCGUAGUGAAAAGAUAUCGAUCAAGUAUGUACAUUGUUAUAACAAUAUGCAUGUUUUCUUACAUCAUUAUACUAAAAGAAAUGAGCUCAAAUUGAAUAAAUCUACAAACAUCAUCGUUUCAAA